GCUUGUCUCAAAGAUUAAGCCAUGCAUGUCUAAGUAUAAACUGCUUAUACUGUGAAACUGCGAAUGGCUCAUUAAAUCAGUUAUAGUUUAUUUGAUGGUACCUCUACUCGGAUAACCGUAGUAAUUCUAGAGCUAAUACGUGCGUAAAUCCCGACUUCUGGAAGGGACGUAUUUAUUAGAUAAAGCCAACGCUGGGUAAAACCAGUUUCCCUUGGUGAUUCAUAAUAAUUAAGCGGAUCGCAUGGCCUUGUGCUAGCGACAGUCCACUCGAUUUUCUGCCCUAUCAUGGUUGAGAUUGUAAGAUAGAGGCUUACAAUGCCUACAACGGGUAACGGGGAAUUAGGGUUCGAUUCCGGAGAGGGAGCCUGAGAAACGGCUACCACAUCCAAGGAAGGCAGCAGG
rnacentral:rRNA from 1 species